GCCUUCGUGGUGUAACGCUUAGCACACUCGGCGCGUAUUCGAGAGGUGCAGGUUCGAAUCCCGACGAGAGCA
rfam:Stegodyphus mimosarum contig65772, whole genome shotgun sequence.